GUGUGUGUAUAUAAUGCAGUGUGUUUGUGUAGUGUGCAUUAUAUAAACACACUACACAAACACACUGCAUUUUAUACACUCAC